rnacentral:rRNA from 1 species
UACGUAGGGAGCAAGCGUUGUCCGGAAUCAUUGGGGCGUAAAGCGCGCGUAGGUGGCCUCGUAAGUCCGCUGUGAAAGUCAAAGGCUCAACCUUUGAAAGCCGGUGGAUACUGUGAGGCUAGAGUACGGAAGAGGCGAGUGGAAUUCCUGGUGUAGCGGUGGAAUGCGCAGAUAUCAGGAGGAACACCAAUAGCGAAGGCAGCUCGCUGGGACGUUACUGACACUGAGGCGCGAAGCUAGGGUAGCAAACGGGA